GGCGACGCCCUCCUCUCCGCCCCUCCCCGCGCCGCCGGCGCCGGGGGCGACAGGUGCAGCUUCAGGUCCAGGGCGCCCCGGCUCAUCGCUGCUGCCUGCAAUCAUAUCCACCAAGCACACAUGAGCAAGCCGCAGGUGUGCUCCUCUGCUUCCUCUGAGGAGUGAGGAGGGCUCUUGGUGUGGGGAAGAAGAAGAGCUUGGCAGCAAGUAUUUAUAGCCAAGCCCAAGCCAUGGAGGUCAAUUGGUUUUCUUAAAUGCCGCACUGUUGAGGAGUACUUGCAUCUUGGCUAAUCGGCCAUAUUAUACUCCACCCUAAACACACUCACUCGUCACUUCAUUGCCCACA